GUUAUUUUGUGGCCAGAGGGCGCGGUAAGACGUUGGGGUCGGGCUGUAUUCGGAGUUACUGGACGUAAAGCGGGCUGAGGCGGUCCUUUAAGUCGGAUGUAAAAUGUCCCGUCUUAACUGGGAGGGACCAUUCGAAACUGCUGGUCUUGAGGAUAGCAGAGGGAGGUGGAAUUCCCGGUGUAGUGGUGAUAUGCGUAGAUAUCGGGAGGAACACCAGUGGCGAAGGCGGCCUCCUGGGCUAUUUCUGACGCUGAGGCCCGAAAGCGUGGGGAGCGAACAGGAUUAGAUACCCCAGUAGUC
rnacentral:rRNA from 1 species